AGAGUUUGAUCCUGGCUCAGAACGAACGCUGGCGGCAGGCCUAAUACAUGCAAGUCGAGCGCGCCCUUCGGGGUGAGCGGCGGACGGGUGAGUAACGCGUGGGAAUAUGCCCUUCUCUAAGGAAUAGCCUCGGGAAACUGAGAGUAAUACCUUAUACGCCCUUCGGGGGAAAGAUUUAUCGGAGAAGGAUUAGCCCGCGUUAGAUUAGGUAGUUGGUGGGGUAAUGGCCUACCAAGCCUACGAUCUAUAGCUGGUUUGAGAGGAUGAUCAGCCACACUGGGACUGAGACACGGCCCAGACUCCUACGGGAGGCAGCAGUAGGGAAUCUUAGACAAUGGGGGAAACCCUGAUCUAGCCAUGCCGCGUGUGUGAUGAAGGCCUUAGGGUCGUAAAGCACUUUCGCCAGAGAUGAUAAUGACAGUAUCUGGUAAAGAAACCCCGGCUAACUCCGUGCCAGCAGCCGCGGUAAUACGGAGGGGGUUAGCGUUGUUCGGAAUUACUGGGCGUAAAGCGUACGUAGGCGGAUUAGUAAGUUAGAGGUGAAAUCCCAGGGCUCAACCCUGGAACUGCCUUUAAUACUGCUAGUCUUGAGUUCGAGAGAGGUAAGUGGAAUUCCGAGUGUAGAGGUGAAAUUCGUAGAUAUUCGGAGGAACACCAGUGGCGAAGGCGGCUUACUGGCUCGAUACUGACGCUGAGGUACGAAAGUGUGGGGAGCAAACAGGAUUAGAUACCCUGGUAGUCCACACCGUAAACGAUGAAUGCCAGACGUCAGCAAGUAUACUUG
rnacentral:rRNA from 1 species